UACGGAGGGGGCGAGCGUUGUUCGGAAUUAUUGGGCGUAAAGAGCUCGUAGGCGGUUUGUCGCGUCUGCUGUGAAAACCCGAGGCUCAACCUCGGGCCUGCAGUGGGUACGGGCAGACUAGAGUGCGGUAGGGGAGAUUGGAAUUCCUGGUGUAGCGGUGAAAUGCGCAGAUAUCAGGAGGAACACCGAUGGCGAAGGCAGGUCUCUGGGCCACUACUGACGCUGAGAAGCGAAAGCAUGGGGAGCAAACAGG
rnacentral:rRNA from 1 species